UUGGGAACAAAAUCCAUACCGCAUCUCCAUGCUCAGGCCUUCCAAGCCCUAUUUCUGUCACCUCCAGUAGCACCAAUGAAUUGACAACAGUGAAAUCGGUAGGAGCUUUAGCAUCCGCAAAUAACCAAAUUGAAACCUCAAAGACAGUUAGUUCAGUAGCACCUGGUUCUGCAAUUCUGAUUUCAGCCGGUGUGUCUCUAAGUCUAAGCUUAUAUGUGACUUCUAAAAUUAUAAAGUUUUCUUUUUCUGAAUAAUUAUGGAGUUGAUCUAGUAUGCAUAUAUAAUGUCAUUGUAACAAAAUGAUGGUUGGCUCGCCGGGGCCGUACCUCAGGCUUGUAAAGCAUCAUUGGCUCUGUUUCUGGAGAAGCGCAAGGAAAGAGUGAUGAAUACAUCGCCACACAACGUAAGCAAGAAAUCCCUAGAUUGCAGUGCCACUGAAUGUGAUGGUGUGAGUUUAUCCAUCAAUUCUCUAUCUUCUCCCGGCCAUCAAUGAGCAGUCAAGGACACAGAAGAUUCAAAUCCAAUACCAUGCACUCUACAACUAUAAAGGAAGAGAGAUCUUCAUCAACGUCUAUUUUUAGUUCUUUAAUUGUAAGCUCAAUUCUUUUUACUUAAAACUGUUAGGUUUCCUCAAUGUCUUAGAUAUAUUGCUCUUACUAUCAGUACCAAUCUUUUGAAUUUUAACUUAAAAUAUGUUGUAAGAAGUAUAAUUUUUCACAUGAUGCAUUUUUCCCUUUAUUUCUAUUCAUAGACUACCACAUUCAUAAUGGAACUUUUUUCAUGGAAGAAUUUACUGUGCUGUGCAGGGGAAUUCUUUCAUCUUUCUGGCUGA